rnacentral:rRNA from 1 species
AGCGAACGUUUGCGGCGGGCUUAACACAUGCAAGUCGAACGGGCUGUUCCUUCGGGGGCAGUCAGUGGCGCACGGGUGCGUAACACGUAGGUAAUCAACCCUCUGGUUGGGGAUAACACUUCGAAAGGAGUGCUAAUACCCGGUAUGGCGCAGCGGUCUUCGGAUCGCGGCGAGAAAGACCCGCAAGGGUUGCCAGAGGACGAGCCUGCGGCCCAUCAGCUAGUUGGCGAGGUAACGGCUCACCAAGGCGAAGACGGGUAGCUGGUCUGAGAGGAUGAUCAGCCACACUGGAACUGAGACACGGUCCAGACUCCUACGGGAGGCAGCAGUGGGGAAUAUUGCGCAAUGGGCGAAAGCCUGACGCAGCCACGCCGCGUGAGCGAUGAAGGCCUCGGUCGUAAGACGUCUGU